AUUGAACGCUGGCGGCAUGCUUUACACAUGCAAGUCGAACGGUAACAGGCCGCAAGGUGCUGACGAGUGGCGAACGGGUGAGUAAUGUAUCGGAACGUGCCCAGUCGUGGGGGAUAACGCAGCGAAAGCUGUGCUAAUACCGCAUACGAUCUAUGGAUGAAAGCGGGGGACCGUAAGGCCUCGCGCGAUUGGAGCGGCCGAUAUCAGAUUAGGUAGUUGGUGGGGUAAAGGCUCACCAAGCCGACGAUCUGUAACUGGUCUGAGAGGACGACCAGCCACACUGGGACUGAGACACGGCCCAGACUCCUACGAGAGGCAGCAGUGGGGAAUUUUGGACAAUGGGCGCAAGCCUGAUCCAGCAAUGCCGCGUGCAGGACGAAGGCCUUCGGGUUGUAAACUGCUUUUGUACGGAGCGAAACGGCCCUCUCUAAUAAAGAGGGCUAAUGACGGUACCGUAAGAAUAAGCACCGGCUAACUACGUGCCAGCCGCCGCCGUAA
rnacentral:rRNA from 1 species